GGCGAACGCUGGCGGCGUGCUUAACACAUGCAAGUCGAACGAAGAGCGAUGGAAGCUUGCUUCUAUCAAUCUUAGUGGCGAACGGGUGAGUAACGCGUAAUCAACCUGCCCUUCAGAGGGGGACAACAGUUGGAAACGACUGCUAAUACCGCAUACGAUCCAAUCUCGGCAUCGAGGAUGGAUGAAAGGUGGCCUCUAUUUAUAAGCUAUCACUGAAGGAGGGGAUUGCGUCUGAUUAGCCAGUUGGAGGGGUAACGGCCCACCAAGGCGAUGAUCAGUAGCCGGUCUGAGAGGAUGAACGGCCACAUUGGGACUGAGACACGGCCCAGACUCCUACGGGAGGCAGCAGUAGGGAAUCUUCCGCAAUGGACGAAAGUCUGACGGAGCAACGCCGCGUGAGUGAUGACGGCCUUCGGGUUGUAAAGCUCUGUUAAUCGGGACGAAAGGCCUUCUUGCGAAUAGUUAGAAGGAUUGACGGUACCGGAAUAGAAAGCCACGGCUAACUACGUGCCAGCAGCCGCGGUAAUA
rnacentral:rRNA from 1 species